GAUGAACGCUAGCUACAGGCUUAACACAUGCAAGUCGAGGGGUAGCAGGGUAGCAAUACCGCUGACGACCGGCGCACGGGUGAGUAACACGUAUCCAACCUUCCCACAACUCAGGGAUAGCCUUUCGAAAGAAAGAUUAAUACCUGAUAGUACUUUUUCAAGGCAUCUUGAGAAAGUUAAAGAUUUAUCGGUUAUGGAUGGGGAUGCGUUCCAUUAGAUAGUUGGUGAGGUAACGGCUCACCAAGUCUUCGAUGGAUAGGGGUUCUGAGAGGAAGGUCCCCCACAUUGGUACUGAGACACGGACCAAACUCCUACGGGAGGCAGCAGUGAGGAAUAUUGGUCAAUGGGCGAGAGCCUGAACCAGCCAAGUAGCGUGAAGGAUGAAGGUCCUAUGGAUUGUAAACUUCUUUUAUAGUAGAAUAAAGUGACCUACGUGUAGGUUUUUGUAUGUAUACUAUGAACAAGGAUCGGCUAACUCCGUGCCAGCCGCCGCAGUAACAC
rnacentral:rRNA from 1 species